AUUGAACGCUGGCGGCAUGCCUUACACAUGCAAGUCGAACGGCAGCACGGGUGCUUGCACCUGGUGGCGAGUGGCGAACGGGUGAGUAAUGCAUCGGAACAUGUCCUGUAGUGGGGGAUAGCCCGGCGAAAGCCGGAUUAAUACCGCAUACGAUCUACGGAUGAAAGCGGGGGCCCUUCGGGCCUCGCGCUAUAGGGUUGGCCGAUGGCUGAUUAGCUAGUUGGUGGGGUAAAGGCCUACCAAGGCGACGAUCAGUAGCUGGUCUGAGAGGACGACCAGCCACACUGGGACUGAGACACGGCCCAGACUCCUACGGGAGGCAGCAGUGGGGAAUUUUGGACAAUGGGCGAAAGCCUGAUCCAGCAAUGCCGCGUGUGUGAAGAAGGCCUUCGGGUUGUAAAGCACUUUUGUCCGGAAAGAAAUCCUUGGCCCUAAUACGGUCGGGGGAUGACGGUACCGGAAGAAUAAGCACCGGCUAACUACGUG
rnacentral:rRNA from 1 species